rfam:Pseudoalteromonas piscicida strain S2040 contig0008, whole genome shotgun sequence.
CCCGCUAGGUUCGCUGCCUGAGAAAUCAGGCAAGGGCUGGUGAUUAUUUAAUCACCGGCCC